rnacentral:lncRNA from 1 species
UUUUUUUUUUUUUUUUAUCAGUCUGUUAUUGCUGCCAUAACAAAAUGCCACAGACUAGGUAGCUUAAACAACAGAAAUUUAUUUUCUCACAGUUCUGGAGGCUGGAAGUCCAAGAUCAUGGUGUUGGCAGGGUUGGUUUCUCCUGAGGCCUCUCUGUUUGGUUUGUAAAUGCCUACUUCUUGCUGUGUCCUCACAUGGUCUUUUCUCUGUGUACAUUUAUUCUUAAUGUCUCUUCUUCUGACAAAGAGGACACCAGUCCUAUUGGAUUAAGGCCCCACUCUUAUAACCUAAGUUUACCUUAGUUACUUCUUGAAAGUCCCUAUUUCCAAAUACAGUCACAUGGGGAAUUAAUUUCCACAUAUUUGCUAAUUUUCCAUGAUUCUUCCUGUUAUUGAUUUCUAGUUUUCUAUUACUAUGGUCAGAAAAUAUAUUCAAUAUGAUUUGGAUCUUAAUUUUGAUCUUGUUUUGUGGCCUAACCUACUAUCUAUUCUGCAGAAUUUUCUGUGUAUACUUCAGAAGAAUGUAUAUUCUGUUGCUAUUGGGUAGAACGUUCUGUAUAUAUCUGUUAGGUCCAUUUGGCCCAAAGUGUAAUUCAAGUCCAAUGUUUCUUUAUUGAUUUUAUGUCUGAAUGAUAUGUCCAAUGCUAAAAGUGGGGUAUUGAUGUCCCCCACUAUUAUUUUGUUGCAGUCUACGUUUCUCUUCAAAUCUCUUCAUGUCUGCUUUAUACAUUUAGAUGCUCCAAUGUUGCAUGCAUAUGUAUUUACAAUUGCUAUAUUCUCUUAAUCAACUGAUCCUUUUAUCACCACAUAAUAACCUCCUUUGUACCUUUUUGCAGUUUUUGACCAAAAGUCCAUUUUGUCUGAAAUAAGUAUAACUACCCCUCUUCUCUUUUUAUUUCCACGGCAAUAUAGUAAUUUAUCCCAUUCCUGCACUUUCAGUCUGAGUGUAUUUUAAGGUGAAAUUAGUCUCUUGCAGGCAGCAUACAGUUGGGUCUUGUUUUGUUUUGCUUUUUAAAUUUUUUUAAUCCAUUCAUCCAUUCUAUGCCUUUUGAUUGGAUAAUUUAAUCCAUUUACAUUCAAAGUAAUUACUGAAGGUUAAGAACUUACCAGUGCCAGCUUAAUUGAUUUCUGAUUGUUACAUUGAGAGUUAAAUAAAUUUUGAAUUUUGGGGGGGACACAAUUCAGUUCUUAAUAGAAACUUUCCCUGAUUCCCUUGGGUGGUAGGCUCCCAGUUAUCCAUUCUCUUAACAUCUUGUAUUUGUUACAAUGCACUUUUGCCAUUUGUAAUAACAAGCACUGCUUGCCAUGUAGAAGACCAGGCCUUUUCCUAUCUCAUUGACCUUAUCUGUUACUAUUCUUUCCCUCACUCACUCCAUUCCUCUCUAAACAUGUUAUCCCAACCCCUCAAAAUUUCUAUGCCCUUAUACAGCUUUAUUUUUCUUCAUAGCACCACCCGCCAUAUAGUAUUUACUUAUUUGUUUAUUUGCUUACUGUUUAAUUUGUGCACCAGAAUGUAAGAUUCAUGGGUUCAGGUACUAUAUUCCACAAAUCUAGUAUAGAUUCACAACAUGGGGAGCACUCAAUACAUAUUUUUUGAAUAAUGGGUGUAUUUACUUGUAUAGUUAUUUGAUUCUUACUGUUUUCUCCACCAGAGGGUAAUCUCUGUAGUACAGGAAGAAUGUCUGUUAUGCUCACCAGUGACUUGGCACUUAAGAUCUAGUGGCUAGCACAUGGUAUGUUCUGAGUGAAUAUUUUUUAAACGAAAGAAAAAAAAAAGCAAAAGUAGUGAAAGUUUAUAGAAAACAUCUUGAAACAAUUUGCAGAACAUGACGAGAAGUUGUAGCCAUUUCUAGUGAUUUCACAAUUCAUUUUGACUUAGCUGGGUAUACCCUCAGUUUAAGCAUGUCUUUUCUGGGCCAAAUCUCUGUUGGGGCCAUAAAACCGCCAUCAGAGUGUUAUGUAUGUUAUAGGAGAAAAGAGAAUGACAGAACUUAUAUUUCUAGAAUCAUUUACUCUCCAAGGAUCAAGUGUAACCCCAGAUUGUUAUUUUUUUGGAUGGUCCUUUAGUUUACUAAUGAAUGGGAUUCCAAGACCAAAUUAUUUGGAUGUUUUGUAUGGAUUGAAAUAAAUGUCCUAAAAACAAGGCAAUAAAAGCAUACUUUGAGACUAAUUUCUACUUCAAACCAAGUGUUAUUAAGAAAGUGGCUCUAUUUUCUAUGCAUGUUUCAUUUUUUAGAGAAUCUUAAAAGGAAGGAAAACUGAUCACUGGGCAUGGUGGCUCAUGCUUGUAAUCUCAGGACCUUUGCAAGGCCAAGGUGGGUGGAUCACUUGAGGAUAGGAGUUCAACAAAACUGGUCAACAUUAUAGUUAGAUUAUUUUGGAAUUUGUCAAAAAGUAGAAGGAACUUAAUAAAAACUAUAUAUAUCAUAUUUGCAAAUUCUUAGAGAAUUGUGAUCUUUCUCUUCCAAAAUAUCAUGGUAGGAACCUGAAUGCUUCCUGAGGAGUACUUGUGCCAAAAGAGUACUUAUACCUAUUGUCAUUUUGAUUUGUUUUUCAACCUAGGGAAAAGUUUGAAAAAAAAAUAUUUGUGGGCUGGGUGCAGUGGCUCACUUUUAUAAUUCCAGCACUUCAGAAGGCCAGGGGAAGUGGAUCACUUGAGCUCAGGAGACCAAGCAGGGCAACAUGGCCAGACCCUGUCUCUACAAAAAAUACAAAAAUUAGCUGGGCAGGGUGGUGUGGGCUUAUAGUCCCAGCUAGUCAGGAGGCUGAUGUGGGAGGGUUGCUUGAGCCCAUGAGGCAGAGGUUGCAGUGAGGCGUGGACUGCAGCAGUGCACUCUAGCCUGGGCAAUAGAGUGAGACCCUGUCCCCCCCCAGCGACAAAAAUUAUAUGUUUAAUAAGCUCAAAUGUAGCUUUUUCUUCUCUUUGCAAUAGGGUAAAUUUUGAAGUCAUUUCAUGUCUUUAAGAACAUCUAAAAGAAGUUUCCCUUUUAUACUUCAAAAUUUUUUUCCAAAAUUUUCUCCACCCUCUUUUCCAUUUCACAUCCUAAUACAUAUAAUCACAUUUUUCCAAAUAUUUCUCCACCCUCUUUUCAUUUCAUGUCUUAAUACAUAUAAAAUAUGUCUUCAUGUGAAAAAUUAUUUGAAAUAAUAAAACUCAUGAAGUUUUGCCAUUUUGUUGUAAUUAAAAUUUAAAUAUCAACAAAUACAUUGGCAAAAACCCAAAUAAAACAAAAACCUUAUUGUAGGAGGUCGUAUGAUUAAGAAAGUAAAGACUAUUGAGAAGCACAGAUCAAAGAGUAAAUCUAGGAAGAGUAAAGAGAGCUACUAACAAGGAUUACUGUAUUCCUCCUCUGUUUUGCCCUGGAUAGCUGGUGGAAACAAAAUCUUUUUAAUUCAGAUUUCAUCAAGACAUUCUGGCUUGAGGCAGUGGCUCAUGCCUGUAAUCCCAACACUUUGAAAGCCAAGGUGGGAGGACUGCUUGAAGCCAGGAGUUUGAGACCAGCCUGCAAAAUAAAAAAAUUAGCCGGUUGUGGUGGCACAUGUGGUCCCAGCUACUCAGAAGGCUGAUGUUGGAGGGUCUUUUGAACCUAAGAUUUCGAGGUUGCAGGGAGCUACGAUUGUACCACUGCACUCCAGCCUGGGUGGCAGAGUAAGACUGUCUCAAAAAAAAAAAAAAAAAAAAAAAA